UAUCCAGGGAUGGGAAUUGAACCCACAGUGUUCCAUUUAUCGGACAGAUACCAUAUCCACUAGGCUACUCAGGAC